rnacentral:rRNA from 1 species
CGCGCGAGUCAUUGGGACUUGUGCGAAACCUAAAGGCGAAAUGAAAGUAAAGGCGCGCCUUGCGCGCGCCGAGGGCGGAUGGGCGGCGGCACGCCGCCGCCCCGCACGCCCGGGGCGUCCCGUUCUCAUCGCGAGUUGGGGCGCACCCAGAGCGCGCACGCUGGGACCCGAAAGAUGGUGAACUAUGCCUGGUCAGGACGAAGUCAGGGGAAACCCUGAUGGAGGUCCGUAGCGAUUCUGACGUGCAAAUCGAUCGUCGGAACUGGGUAUAGGGGCGAAAGACCAAUCGAAUCAUCUAGUAGCUGGUUCCCUCCGAAGUUUCCCUCAGGAUAGCUGGCGCUCGUUUUUACGAGUCUCAUCCGGUAAAGCGAAUGAUUAGAGGCAUUGGGGUCGAAACGGCCUCAACCUAUUCUCAAACUUUAAAUGGGUGAGAUCUCCGGCUUGCUCGAACUAUGAAGCCGCGAGACCUCGGAUCAGAGUGCCAAGUGGGCCACUUUUGGUAAGCAGAACUGGCGCUGUGGGAUGAACCAAACGCCGAGUUAAAGCGCCCAAAUCGACGCUUAUGGGAUAC